UAUAUUUCAUUAUCUUAGGAUCGAUCCUGUUUCAUCAGUAAACCAGUUGAAUUGACUGGUACAGUAGGUGGAUUCCACACUUACUCAUCACUGCUUUCUUACAAUGGACUGUCAUUGAGGAGAAGUACGUGGAGUUUGAGUUUCUCUUUGAGACGAUUAUCAGGUGACGGUCAUGUGAUUACGGUAUCAUCAAAAUCAGGUGUUAGUAUCAGUAUCGCGUUAAUAUCAAACGGAAUCAUUGAUUUGAGAUUAAGAGGAGAGAAUGGAUCAGACGAACAUGUAUCAGCAGAUACUCCAUUGGCAAUAAACACAUGGAAUAACAUUUCUAUCAAUAGUAGUAUCAUUAAUGGUGUUAUUAUUAUUAAUUUGUUAAUUAAUGGUGACACUAUUGGUACAGUCAGCACUAAAUAUACAGCUGGUGGUAUAUUUGAACCGUCACUGCCUCUUGGAAUAGG